rnacentral:rRNA from 1 species
AUUGAACGCUGGCGGCAGGCUUAACACAUGCGAGUCGAGCGGAGAUGAGGUGCUUGCACCUUAUCUUAGCGGCGGACGGGUGAGCAAUGCUUAGGAAUCUGCCUAUUAGUGGGGGACAACAUUCCGAAAGGAAUGCUAAUACCGCAUACGUCCUACGGGAGAAAGCAGGGGAUCUUCGGACCUUGCGCUAAUAGAUGAGCCUAAGUCGGAUUAGCUAGUUGGUGGGGUAAAGGCCUACCAAGGCGACGAUCUGUAGCGGGUCUGAGAGGAUGAUCCGCCACACUGGGACUGAGACACGGCCCAGACUCCUACGGGAGGCAGCAGUGGGGAAUAUUGGACAAUGGGGGGAACCCUGAUCCAGCCAUGCCGCGUGUGUGAAGAGGGCCUUAUGGUUGUAAAGCACUUUAAGCGAGGAGGAGGCUACUGAGACUAAUACUCUUGGAUAGUGGACGUUACUCGCAGAAUAAGCACCGGCUAACUCUGUGCCAGCAGCCGCCGUAAGAC